CAGUAGCCGCGGUAAUACAGAGGGUGCAAGCGUUAAUCGGAAUUACUGGGCGUAAAGCGCGCGUAGGUGGUUUGUUAAGUUGGAUGUGAAAGCCCCGGGCUCAACCUGGGAACUGCAUCCAAAACUGGCAAGCUAGAGUACGGUAGAGGGUGGUGGAAUUUCCUGUGUAGCGGUGAAAUGCGUAGAUAUAGGAAGGAACACCAGUGGCGAAGGCGACCACCUGGACUGAUAAUGACACUGAGGUGCGAAAGCGUGGGGAGCAAACAGGAUUAGAGACCCGAGUAGUCCCUGUCUCUUAUAC
rnacentral:rRNA from 1 species